rnacentral:lncRNA from 1 species
GUUUAAUAAGGGGCAUUGCACUAAUCACCACAAAAAAAAAAGAUCCCAAUGAGGACAACUUUAAUAAUCUCAUUGUGAAUCGUCUCUUCGUAGCCUUUAUGACUCGAGUGAUUAAGCUUGUAAAGGUUUAAAAUCUGGUGCCCUAAAGUCAUCUGAUUUAGGAGUCAUCGGUCUAAAACUCGCUACAGGGGUCAUUUAGAAAGUUUAAGGGAGUGACAUCCGCACAAAGAGUGAUUAAAGAAUAAAGAUAUAUAUGGAAAAAAAAUUUGAAAAAAAGAAAAAAAAAGAUAUCAAAUGCCUUGAUUAAGCCCCGAACACUUGUUUUAGAGGAUUAGACCUUUGAUAAGGGGUUAGUAACUUGGUUGAUUCCUAGAGGUUGAAGCAGUCAAAAAUAAGGAGAAUCUUCAUUUGUUGACAUGUGAAACUAUAAUCAGUAAAAUCUAACCAAACUUGAGUGGUGUAAGAAAUUAGUAUUGAAAAUUUAACCUCAGGUUACGCCCUUGGAAAGAGAAAAGAAAAUAAGUUUGGGGGUGUCUGAAUCCCACGAGCAAAGUAAGAAAAAAAUUUUGACUUCUAAGGUCGGGAAUUGGGUCAACUUAUUAUUGUACAGCGUUGCACUUGACUCUCCACACACACACACCCGUUUUGCAUUGAAUAUGUGAGAAUUUAACUUUUGCAUUAUAACUUUGAAGUGGUUCAUGAAAUCGAAGUUAUGUUUUUAAUCCCGAGACACGAAGGCAAGCUAUCUAGCGAAAUUUAUUUUAAGUGAUUUUGUUUGUCUUAGUUGUGCUUGUGUGUCCAUUAAUUAUUUUUAUGGGUUUUGGUGUUUGCUCGAGGACAAGCAAAAGAUUAAGUUUGGGGGUACUUGAUGAGAAAUUUACACUCAUUAUAUUAUGCCAUUAGUUUCAUGAUUUUUCUAUCUUGGAGAGUAUUUUAGAAGUGCUAACAAGUGAUUUUGGUGUUGUUUUGUAGAUUGAUGGAAGUGGAGAAAACAAGAGCUAAAAGAGGUCAAAGGAAGGAAAUAGGCAAAAGCUAGCGAAAUUGGAUGAAAUGACCAAAACGUAAGAGAUCCAAAAUUCGAGGAUUAAAAUGCAAUUAAUCAAAAGUCGUGUCGAAACUUGAAAUGAAGAUCCGAGAGUUCUAGAAGCCAAUUGGAUGAAGGAAGGUGUCAAAGGGAUCAAAUUUAGUCAAGAUAUGAUCAUAAAUCAUUUUCCAACCAAAAAGUUUUGCGCCGAAGUUUUGGUCUCAUAUUUAGACUCAUUUUGACAUAGAAAACGAUCGAAUUGGAGAAUGAUUCCUGAAGAAAAAUUGUAGUCCUUUGAAUUAGCUUUCCAAUGCAUCUUGAAUCACUUCAAUCGAAUAUCGACCGAAAAAGUUAUGACAAAAAUACUGAAAGCUGUCCAGUGCAACCGAAGUAGUCCUCAGCGCCCAGGUGCCAUGAUGCUGAAAUUUUGACAGAAAGUCAGUGCCUAGGAGCCCAAAUCGCAGCGCCCAGGCGCCGCCGUGCGAGAGUAAUUUUUUUAGGUUUUUACCAUUCUUUUUCGACCCAACUCAUCUCCAAAUCUUUCCCUAAACUCCAAGACAUUAUAAACACAGAAUUGAAGACCUAAAUUAGGGGGGAGCCGCACACUAAAAAUCUGUGGGAUCAAGCCACGCGUUCUUGACAUAUGGGAGAGAAGACAACAAGAAGGGAGAUUGAAAAGAGAAUUUUAAGAAGAUUAACACAAAGCAAUUGAAGAUUAGAAGCAUUCAUUGGAAGGGAAAGGUGGUCUUGGUACAAGAAUUCUAUUUUUUCUUCUACAUCUUUAUUACAAAUCCGGUGAUGUAUUAUAAGACAAUUUCCUAUUUUUCUUCCAUUAUUAUGAGUAGUUAAAUUUGAUUUUAGGGCGAACAAUGUAAUCUUUUUGAAUCCUUUAU